rnacentral:RNase_P_RNA from 1 species
CGAGCCGGCCGGGUGGUCGCGAUCCGGCACCGACCGGGUCGAGGAAGGUCGGGGCUCCACAGGGCAGGGUGCUGGCUAGCGGCCAGUCGGGGUGACCCGCAGGAAAGUGCCCGGGGUGACCCGGGCGGCUCGGCAAACCCCACCCGGAGCAAGGCCAAACAGGGACGGGUGGCCCGCCCAACGUCCCGGGUAGGCCGCGUAGAUGGAUGGCCACCCCGCCGCUUCGGCGGCGGACAGAACCCCGCCUACAGGCCGGCUCGCCAU